AUGGCAUGAUGUGGACAUUGUCUUUUCUAUUCUUUCCAUCUCAUCCACGACUCAUAAAGAGUCUCAUCUUCUCUUAGUCAAAAAGCUAUCAUUUGAUUCCUUAAUUCU